UACGGAGGGUGCGAGCGUUGUUCGGAAUCACUGGGCGUAAAGCGCGUGUAGGCGGCCCACUAAGUCUGAUGUGAAAGCCCGGGGCUCACCCCCGGAAGUGCAUUGGAAACUGGUGGACUCGAGUCCCGGAGAGGAGAGUGGAAUUCCGUGGUGUGAGCGGUGAAAUGCGUAGAUAUCGAGGAGGAACACCCGUGGCGAAGGCGGUUCUGCUGGGACGGUACUGGACGCUGGAGACGCGAAAGCGUGGGGAGCGAACAGGAUAGAACCCUU
rnacentral:rRNA from 1 species